rnacentral:rRNA from 1 species
UCCUACAGCCAUAUCACCCUGCCCGAUCUCAUCUGACCUCGGAAGCUAAGCAGGGUCGGUACUCGGAUGGGAGGCCGCCUGGGAAUGCUGGGUGCUGUAGGGU